GGAGGGGGCUAGCGUUGUUCGGAAUUACUGGGCGUAAAGCGCACGUAGGCGGACUGGAAAGUUGGAGGUGAAAUCCCAGGGCUCAACCUUGGAACUGCCUUCAAAACUAUCAGUCUGGAGUUCGAGAGAGGUGAGUGGAAUUCCGAGUGUAGAGGUGAAAUUCGUAGAUAUUCGGAGGAACACCAGUGGCGAAGGCGGCUCACUGGCUCGAUACUGACGCUGAGGUGCGAAAGUGUGGGGAGCAAACAGGAUUAGAUACCCUGGUAGUCCACACCGUAAACGAUGAAUGCCAGUCGUCGGGCAGUAUACUGUUCGGUGACACACCUAACGGAUUAAGCAUUCCGCCUGGGGAGUACGGUCGCAAGAUUAAA
rnacentral:rRNA from 1 species